rnacentral:snRNA from 1 species
AGAGUGAUCUGGCUAUGACAUGUCACCCCAUUGAUUACUGUGGUUGAUUUGGCUGGCUAGGUGAGUGUCCCCUUCCUCCGUGAGUGUUCUAUGUGUGUCCCUCCUGAUGCUGCAUAUGAGGUUGAAGAGGCUGACCUUCAUUCGUCCAUCAAGAGUAUAAAAGCAGCUGCAUUCCCCUAGUAGAACCUCUAAAGAAGUACUCCAGGUUCAUUUGUAGGCAAAUGUUAAGAGUUAAGCUUCCAAGAGUCCAGAUCCAUCCCAGUGAGGCACACUG